UACGAAGGGUGCAAGCGUUACUCGGAAUUACUGGGCGUAAAGCGUGCGUAGGUGGUCUGUUAAGUCUGAUGUGAAAGCCCUGGGCUCAACCUGGGAAUUGCAUUGGAUACUGGCAGGCUAGAGUGCGGUAGAGGAUGGCGGAAUUCCCGGUGUAGCAGUGAAAUGCGUAGAGAUCGGGAGGAACAUCUGUGGCGAAGGCGGCCAGCUGGACCAGCACUGACACUGAGGCACGAAAGCGUGGGGAGCAAACAGG
rnacentral:rRNA from 1 species